rnacentral:rRNA from 1 species
GACGAACGCUGGCGGCGUGCUUAACACAUGCAAGUCGAACGAUGAAGCUGGAGCUUGCUCCGGUGGAUUAGUGGCGAACGGGUGAGUAACACGUGAGCAAUCUGCCCUUGACUCUGGGAUAACUGCGGGAAACUGUAGCUAAUACCGGAUAUGAGAUCUGAAGGCAUCUUCGGGUUUGGAAAGAAUUUCGGUCAAGGAUGAGCUCGCGGCCCAUCAGCUAGUUGGUGAGGUAAUGGCUCACCAAGGCGACGACGGGUAGCCGGCCUGAGAGGGUGACCGGCCACACUGGAACUGAGACACGGUCCAGACUCCUACGGGAGGCAGCAGUGGGGAAUAUUGCACAAUGGGCGAAGGCCUGAUGCAGCAACGCCGCGUGAGGGAUGAAGGCCUUCGGGUUGUAAACCUCUUUUAGCAGGGAAGAAGCGAAAGUGACGGUACCUGCAGAAAAAGCACCGGCUAACUACGUGCCAGCCGCCGCCGUAA